rnacentral:rRNA from 1 species
UACGUAGGCAGCGAGCGUUGUUCGGAAUUACUGGGCGUAAAGAGUGUGUAGGCGGUGCUCUAAGUUCGGUAUGAAAUCUCCUGGCUCAACUGGGAGGGUGCGCCGGAAACUGGAGUGCUUGAGCGUGGGAGAGGAAAGCGGAAUUCCUGGUGUAGCGGUGAAAUGCGUAGAUAUCAGGAGGAACACCUGUGGUGUAGACGGCUUUCUGGACCAUAGCUGACGCUGAGACACGAAAGCGUGGGUAGCAAACAGG